rnacentral:rRNA from 1 species
UGACUUCGGUUGGUGUGGAGACUGGCGCACGGGUGAGUAACGCGUAGACAACCUGCCCAUAACAGGGGGAUAACCCCGCGAAAGCGGAGCUAACCCCCCAUAAUGCAGCGGCCCCGCAUGGGGACAGUUGUUAAAUUCACUUCGGUGGAGGUUAUGGAUGGGUCUGCGUGCCAUUAGCUAGUUGGUGGGGUAAGAGCCUACCAAGGCGAUGAUGGCUAGGGGGUCUGAGAGGAUGAUCCCCCACACUGGGACUGAGACACGGCCCAGACUCCUACGGGAGGCAGCAGUGAGGAAUCUUGCGCAAUGGAGGAAACUCUGACGCAGCCACGCCGCGUGCCGGAAGACGGCCCUAUGGGUUGUAAACGGCUUUUGAUCGGGAAGAACAGCCGGGGUUUGCCCUGGUGUGACGGUACCGAUCGAAUAAGCACCGGCUAACUCCGUGCCAGCAGCCGCGGUAAUACGGAGGGUGCAAGCGUUGUCCGGAAUCAUUGGGUGUAAAGGGUGCGCAGGCGGGCAUCUAAGUCUGAGGUGAAAUCUUGCCGCUUAACGGUAAAAUGGCCUUAGAUACUGGGUGUCUUGAAUCUAGAAGAGGUCGGUGGAAUUCGUGGUGUAGCGGUGAAAUGCAUAGAUAUCACGAAGAA